rnacentral:rRNA from 1 species
CAGUCGCCGCGGUAAUACGUAGGGUGCAAGCGUUAAUCGGAAUUACUGGGCGUAAAGCGUGCGCAGGCGGUUUUGUAAGACAGGCGUGAAAUCCCCGGGCUCAACCUGGGAAUGGCGCUUGUGACUGCAAAGCUAGAGUGCGGCAGAGGGGGAUGGAAUUCCGCGUGUAGCAGUGAAAUGCGUAGAUAUGCGGAGGAACACCGAUGGCGAAGGCAAUCCCCUGGGCCUGCACUGACGCUCAUGCACGAAAGCGUGGGGAGCAAACAGGAUUAGAUACCCGCGUAGUCCCUGUCUCUUAUAC